rnacentral:tRNA from 1 species
GGGGUUAUAGCUCAGCUGGAAGAGCACUUGCAUGGCAUGCAAGGGGUCGUGGGUUCGAGUCCCACUAGCUCCACCA